CGGCCCGCGGAGCUCGGCUGGCCAAUGGGAGCGCCCCUCGGCCCUGGGGGCGGGAGGUCCCAGGACGGGGCGGGGCAGGCUCCCUGGCCCCCUCCCCCCAGUCUCCUGCUCCGCUGGGAAGGAGUGUGCGCCCCUCUCUGGUUGCGUUGGCGGCGAUGCCGGGUCCGUCUGUCCCCCAUCUGGGAGGUCGGAGGGCCUAAGAACGGCCGUCCCCGAGAGGCUCCGGACGGCCGGGGCGCGGAGAGGAGGGGGCGGGAGCGCAGCAGGUCCACCCCGGCCCCGUAGUCCUCUGUCUCCCCCUGCGUUCCCGGGCCCUCCCGUCCCUUCCCCCAUCUCUUGUCCUCCUGACCGCAGAUCCUCGGCCCCUCCCCCAAGUCCCCCUGCGGGGGUCCUCUUCCUCGCCUCCGGCCCCUGACUGGCGUUGCCCCCAGACCAGAGGCUGGUCCGUUUCACUAAUUUAGCGAAUAAAGAGCCUUUUCCGCGCGCUCGCCGGCGCCAGCCCCACGCGGGUUGAGACUCCAGGAGCCGCAGCACAGCCGACGUCCGCUGAAGCAGCCCCUUCUCUCUCCCUGUACCUCACACAGAUGACCCGUUUUAACUCGGAGCAGGACGACUGGGCGCUGCAGGGCCGUGGGCCGGGGGUCACUGCGCCUGCCUGGUUCCGACCUCAGCAAAUGGCCGCCCCGCCCCGCCCCACUCCUCUCUUCUCUCAGGCCCCUUCUUGAGAUGCCGCGGUCUCUUCUAGCACUGUCUCCAGGCUGUCCAACGAAAUUCCUCUUUCCUGCUUGGAACCGCUCUCCACCCUCCUUUCUUCUACUCAGAUCCGUUUUCUGAGUACACAUAUGUAUCAGGCGGUGCACUGGGCCCUGUGGAGGCCGACCCUGCACCUGUGGGCCCUGUCAGUGGGGGAGCUGGCCAGCUGGACACUGGUUCCGUGGGGUGCUCCCCACGGUGGCCUCGCCAGGUUUAAAUCCACUGCACCUUGGUUAAGGACCUACAUUGUGCCAGACCCUGGGCCAGGUGCUGGUGCAAGAUGGAGGGUGGGCCCGUGGGUGGGUGGCUGUGCCCCCCCUCUCCCCCCAAGGCCCCAGUGAGCUAGGUGGGCACUGCAGACCUGGCCACACGUAAGCCUCGUCUGGGCGGGAUAUGGGCGCUCUGAGACGUCCAGCUCCCAGAGCUACAAACGGAAAAGGGAGUGAGCGCCAAGCGGGUGUGUGUGCGCGGUUGGGUGGGGUUGGCUCCAGAAGAAGGCAGGUUGGUUAUCUGAGCAGCUGCUGGGGGCCUGGCCGCUCAGCGGCAGACCCUACGACCCCUUCCAGGGGCCCUGCUUGCUCUCUCUUCUCCAGCCUGUUUUUGUACGUUAUGUGUCCACAUCACCAAACUCUCUUAUUGGUUCUAAGUUUUCAUUUGAUUUUUGUAGAUUGUCUAAUAGUUGUUUCCCCUCUCAAAGAUACUCCCCAGUUUUUUUAUCCUUAGGUAAUGAGGUGACAGUCCCUUACAGACAUCUUCAGCAAGCACAGCGAUGCAGCCCGAGUAAAGUCGCUGGAGUCAGAGCUCUUCUACCUGGCUUAAUUUCUUAACUUCUCAGUUCCCCAUCUAUAAAAGGAGAUGAUGAAAAUAGAGGCGAGGUUCACUAGGUUCCCGAAUACAUAUAAAAGAGCUAGGGCUCAAUAAAUCAUUAUCAUCAUAAUAUGAUAGCUAAUGUUAGUUGAUCAGGUACUAUGCCCCAGGCAUUGUGUUAAGUGCUUUAUAUUAUCUCUCUAAAUCCUCACAGCAUCAGAGAAAGGUCCCCAUUUUGUGGAUUAGGGGGUUGAGGCACAAACCACCUAAGGGAAGUAUGUGUGCAGCAGGGAUGUUGUUUGACAAAGCCCAUGCUCUUUAACUAUUCUGCAGUUCUGUGAUUAUUGUGAAUAAGGAGAUGAUGCAUAAAAAGCAUCUACAAGUCCCUGUAUGAUGCUAAGUGUCCCAUACAAGAUAGUUUUCAUUAAUUUUAGAGUUGUCAAAAGAUGCUUACUUAGACUUUUGUUGUGAUAAAGUUCAGGUUUCUUUUUUUGUGUGUGUGAGGAAGAUCAGCCCUGUGCUAACAUCUGCCAAUGCUCCUCUUUUUUUUUUUUUAUGCUGAGGAAGACUGGCCCUGUGCUAACAUCCAUGCCCAUCUUCCUCCACUUUAUAUGAGAGGCCGCCACAGCAUGGCUUGCCAAGUGGUGCCUCAGUGCCCGCCCCAGUCCGAACCAGGGAACCCUGGGCCGCUGUAGCAGAGCGCGUGCACUUAACCACUUGUGCCACUGGGACGCCCCCUAAAGUUCAGCUUUCAGCGAUGCAUAUCAAAUUCUGUUAUUUUUAGAAGUCUAGUUACCAAUCACGACCCUGAAAUAAAAGCAAGGCGUUGCGUAAUUGCAUUUUAGACUAUGGUGUAGUACACGUUUAGUCCAUGAGAAAGGGUCGUCACUUCUAUGACGACUUGAAGAAAAAACAUGGCGGUGGCAGAGCAGGGGGUGCGGCUGCCGACUCUGUACACUAGCCUGCAGCAGGGAGGCGGCGGGGCAGGAACGGGCUAAAACCACGUGGGAGCCCUCGUCCCCUUGGGCAGCCCCGCCUCCAGAGCCGAGGCGCCUGCGCCAGCUCCAUCAGGCUGGGCCAGCCUCACAGAGCACGCGCACUUCGCUGCAUUCUGAUUGGCGGACCCUGGAGCUCAAGCGCUAGACUCCUGAAGGUCUGUGCACGUUUGGCGGGGGCGCAGGCCGCAGGCCUUAGCAAGGACGAGCAGCACGGCUCAGCUUCACACCGGCGCUCCAGUCCAGGGCCUGGGGCAGCUCCCGACGCUUCUGGUUCUGCCGUACCCCUCUCCACGACCUCGGUCGGGCAUGUUUUCCAGGGCCCAGAUGAUGUCUACCGUAGAAAAGCCUCAGAAAGACAAUAUCAGAGAAGGCUGGAAGAUGCAUCAGAGACUGAACUUCAGCAAUCAAUAAAGUGAAUAUGAAAUUUUA